rnacentral:lncRNA from 1 species
CUUCAUCUGACUUGCCCCUGUCUGACUUUGUUAGACUCAAUUCACUUGGUAAAAUUACAUUGCUGAUCAGGUUCAAGUGUGCUCACUCUACGAUUGCCUUCAUGCCACAGAAAAACUCGAACUCACAGCCAUGCUGACUGACCUCCCAUCUGGCUCUGUGGUUUCAUCAAGUAUUCUUUUUAAAAGCAACGUCUGAACAUGAAAAAAUCUAGUUUUUGAAAACUGUCUAAAAUGGAGUAUAAAAGUAUUGUCUCUCCCCCUUCCUCCCCCACACCCCGUGCUACACUCUAGAGGAGGCUGGACAUAAACUAUACAUUUUGGGUUCUUCUGAGAUGGAAGAGUUUCCAGAACCAUUAUGGAAUAGCAUCAUGUAUGCAUUUACCUGGGGCCUCGCACAACUUUUGUUGUAGCCAAGAAUAGCCAAGAAUAUUGUGAAGAAAGUUGAUAUCAUCAUCACCAACACAAUCUGGGCAAGUCCCUUAAUUUUUCUUAAUUGAAUAGUACACCUUCAAUUCCAUUUGUGCCUGUGUUUGUCUUAGUCACAAGC